rnacentral:lncRNA from 1 species
AUGGGCUCCUAUAACAGUAAGCUUUGAGGUUUAUUAAAAAACAGAAUUCACCAGGCCUGUGCCAAACCUUUGAGAUUACAGAGAUUGGAUGUCCUGUGAUAUCACAACAGAGGAUUUGCAAUGUCAGGCUUUUGGAAGCUAAAUUAUGUGAUCAUUCAAGUUGCCUCAAGGUUUUAUUCUUUGCCUGAAGUUGUAGGGCAUGGGUAAGUGGAAUUAGUCAGCAG